AGAGUUUGAUCAUGGCUCAGAUUGAACGCUGGCGGCAUGCCUUACACAUGCAAGUCGAACGGUAACGGGCCUUCGGGUGCCGACGAGUGGCGAACGGGUGAGUAAUGCAUCGGAACGUACCUUUCAGUGGGGAUAACGUAGCGAAAGUUACGCUAAUACCGCAUAUUCUGUGAGCAGGAAAGCAGGGGAUCGCAAGACCUUGCGCUGAUUGAGCGGCCGAUGUCAGAUUAGCUAGUUGGUGAGGUAAAGGCUCACCAAGGCGACGAUCUGUAGCGGGUCUGAGAGGAUGAUCCGCCACACUGGAACUGAGACACGGUCCAGACUCCUACGGGAGGCAGCAGUGGGGAAUUUUGGACAAUGGGGGCAACCCUGAUCCAGCCAUGCCGCGUGAGUGAAGAAGGCCUUCGGGUUGUAAAGCUCUUUCGGCCGGGAAGAAAUCGCAUGGGUUAAUACCCUGUGCGGAUGACGGUACCGGCAUAAGAAGCACCGGCUAACUACGUG
rnacentral:rRNA from 1 species